UGACGAGUGUUGCGAAUGUGCU
rnacentral:misc_RNA from 1 species